rnacentral:rRNA from 1 species
UACGUAGGGUGCGAGCGUUAAUCGGAAUUACUGGGCGUAAAGCGUGCGCAGGCGGUUCGUUGUGUCCGUCGUGAAAGCCCCGGGCUUAACCUGGGAACUGCGAUGGAAACUAGCGAGCUGGAGUGUGGCAGAGGGGGUGGAAUUCCGCGUGUAGCAGUGAAAUGCGUAGAGAUGCGGAGGAACACCGAUGGCGAAGGCAGCCCCCUGGGCUAACACUGACGCUCAGGCACGAAAGCGUGGGGAGCAAACAGG